rnacentral:rRNA from 1 species
UACGUAGGGUGCAAGCGUUGUCCGGAAUUAUUGGGCGUAAAGAGCUCGUAGGCGGUCUGUUGCGUCGGCUGUGAAAACCCGAGGCUCAACCUCGGGCCUGCAGCCGAUACGGGCAGACUAGAGUUCGGCAGGGGAGACUGGAAUUCCUGGUGUAGCGGUGAAAUGCGCAGAUAUCAGGAGGAACACCGGUGGCGAAGGCGGGGUCUCUGGGCCGAUACUGACGGCUGAGGAGCG